UUGUGAUGGUGGUGCGAAUGAGGAGUGUUCAACCCUCAGUUCCGAAGCUUCUUUACUCCGUUUUUUUUGUUGUAUUUAAAAGUGAGCUUUGUAGCCUUGUCUCAAGUUUAACCAGGAUCGGAUCCACUCAUUUUUUCCUUUGGACUACACAUCUCAGUUGGUCUCAGCUGUUUCGUUGUGGCCUUUCUCAGCAGGAGAUCUGUUGGCGGAUUGGAUUGCCUGACAGACCACAACUUUUGUUGCAUACGACUUGAUGGACCAGACAGGACUCAUUCCCUCAAACAAAAAGGAGACAUCAAUAUUUUCUCUGGUGAAUCUGAUGAGGCGAUGGUGCGAGUAACGAUGGUGACAGGUGUGCAUAAUAAUGAGCAGCCUGGUGACCUCGAGCGCCGGAGAGGGAGUAUACCUGACAGUAACCUCUCCCUGAUGUGCGGCUCCAGGCGCAGGACUCCGAUCAGAGGGAUGGUCCUGGGGGCCGGUCGCUUCUGCUGAGGCACAGGAACCCCGGUUGCGACACCCGGACCGACAUCACCUACCCUAAUAAAUAAACAGUCCCUGAUGCUUCCUUUUGGUCAGGAGUUAUUCUGUAACGUGUAUGCUGGGAGUCGGGAAGCAAGUUUAGGGAGCGUAGUUAAUAAAUACAUUAACAUAGAACAAAACAAGAAACACGGAUAGCGUACAGCCAUGAACACUGGAACAGAAACAAUAACGCCUAGAGAAAGAACCAAAGGCAGUGACGUGUGUAUAUAUGGGAAAGGUAAUCAGGCAG